GACAUUACAAAGGACCUCUGUGUCAGAAACUAGGAUUAAAGAACAAAUACAGAACAAAUGAUUCCUCCAGCACCCCUACUGCAAGGAUUUUAAGAACUCUAUCUCAGGAUAAAGACCUGAGGGUCACAAGAUGUACAUCGCUGGCCCCAGCUGGAUUUUCCCACGGUUAGGUGCCCAUUCCUACCUAAUCAAAGGUCAUGGGUACUCAUACGUUUUCAAGAGUUUGGAAAAUGAUCUCCCUUGCCAGGUUACCAAUCUUCAAAGGGAGGUCUAUAUUUGGAAGAAAAAGAAAAAAUUUAUGUGCAUUUACCCUGUUUAAUACACUCAUCACACAUAGUAUUUUUACAACAGCAACAAUAACACUCUUAAUUUAGUAUGUAAUUAUAUAUGUCAUAUACUUAAUAUACAAAAUAUUUUCCUUGCUAUCCUAUACGAUUUCAAAUGCCUGGAACAAUAAAUAAUUCAUGUCAUUACUUGAGAGUAUGUAAAUUUUAAUAUGUUAACAUAUACGGGCAAAGUUCUAAAAGCUGCGAUUUUAUGGGAGGCCAAAUUAUGUACAUAUUAGUUUGUCUGAAGACUUGAGCCAAAAGGAAACCAAUACAUUUUGAGCUACAAUAUGGACAUAAUGUCAUGAAGCAGGAAUAUUUUGCUCCAUUUCAGGACACUUCUGCUGACCUGCACCUAGAAUACCCUGUUCUGUACUGAUGACUCAGAUGUAAGAAUGAUGAAGUGCAUCGGUUGGCAUGCAGAGAACAAUGAGAAAAAGAACUGAGUUGUGGGAAGACAUGAGGAAAGGACAUGAGGCUCUUAAUAACAGCUGCCAAGUACUGCAGUCGGGAAUCUGGAGCAAAGUGAUUCAAUUCUGACCACUGCCUGUGAGUAAACGGGAUUUUAUUUUUCAAUACUUUUGUUUAACAGUAUCUCCUUCAUUACAUGUGAACAGCACUCCAGGAUAGUAAAUCAUGAAAUGGGAAUAAAGCCUGUAAUUUUAAUUAACAUAUUUUAAAAUGUUUCUAAUUUGUAUGCAUUUGAUCAAAUUUUCAUUUGCAUUGAGCUAUUUUUUCUUUCUCAUGUAAUGUUUGACAUUACCAUUUCUUUCUUUAAUGAAAUACUAAUAUUUAAUAAAAUAUAUUACAUCC